GUCCUUCCCAGCAAAGACUGACUCAAGCCUGGAAGUGGCCUCAGAGAACAGAGACUUCCAACGUCCUAAGAGUCCACCUCUCCCUUUCAUCACAUGAACGAACAAAAUGACCUCUCCGGCUUUCCUCUUGCCCUCUGGCGGUCAGGAAGCUCAGAGGGAACAGCCGCAUUACAGGCGCCAGAGUUAGAAUAAGGUGCUUCUCCAUUCACGAUGCGGUUGUACCACCACGGAGCUGAAAAAUGGUUAAGCUGAACCAUGAGCAAGAUGUGAGACAAACCAAACUCGGCUUCACCCGCAAGGGCCUGCUGGAUGUGGCGGGGCUGGGAGAGGACAUUCCUCAUCGGGAAACUGCCUCCUGGAACCUACUGCACUCGCGCUGCCUUUUAAUGAGAUGAGCAAGCCCAGGCCAUGUUGGCCGUCCAGGUCCGCCCUGGCCCGAGCCGGCCCGUACAGAGGACCCUGCCCCAGCCUGGCGUGAUUGGUUUGAAAUGGGCAUUUGA